CCUGGGCUUCUGUUACACUUCUCAUCUAUAAUAAGGACUCCAGUCUCUCCAGAGGAUGGAUGCCACCCUCCUUCAGCAUUUCAAAACUCACACAAGGUUGCCAGGCUGGUUUCUCCCCCCCCCAUGCCCCCAGUACCUGAACACACCGGGGUCCUGUUGUGCACAGAGGAGCCACUCACUGGCUUGCCGUCACUGGUGACACACCAGCAGUAACCUGUCAAAGUAUGGCACUGGACCUGCAGAGGCAAAAAGAUAAAUAGUGUGGCCCAUUGAGAGCGAGGUAAAAAGAUGAGGAGGAGACACCGAAGAGGGUGAGCGAGGGAAGGCGGCUGUUGAGUGCAGGUGUCCAGCUUCAGUUCAGCAACCCCUCAAUCCACAGAAACUGGGCUCUUUAAGAGCUGAAAAGGGCCAUCCGGUCACCCUUUGCAGGAAGGAUGACCCCCACCCCCAAUCCUUUUCCCUCAGUCUUUGUCCCUAUAGAUAUUUUUUAAUUGUUGGCUAUGACAGUUCAGCGGCUUUUUGAGUGGCUCAGUGAAGAACCUUGUAAUUAGAGCUAUUGAGCUGCUGGAAUUGGCACAAUUAGGGUCAGUUAUUAAUGAGUUCUGUGUUCACCAGGCGCUGUCACUAAAGGGCUAUUUUCUCAGGAAGCAUGGAGAGAAUUCUUUGAAGAGUGUCGGGCCAAAUGCGAGAGAAGAAAGGGGAAGGGAGAAAAAUUUAGGCUUAACCGAACUGGAGGCAAUGAAUUGUGUGGAUUCUUCUUUAUCGU